UACGUAGGGACCGAGCGUUGUCCGGAAUCAUUGGGCGUAAAGAGCGUGUAGGCGGCCAAUUAAGUCCUGCGUGAAAUCUCGGGGCUCAACCCCGAGCGGUCGUGGGAAACUGGUUGGCUAGAGUGCGGGAGAGGAGAGUGGAAUUCCUGGUGUAGCGGUGAAAUGCGCAGAUAUCUGGAGGAACACCGGUGGCGAAGGCGGCAUCCUGGACCGGCAGUUGACGCGU
rnacentral:rRNA from 1 species